rnacentral:rRNA from 1 species
CCCCGGGCUCAACCUGGGGAACUGCAUCUGAUAACUGGCAAAGCUUGAGUCUCGUAGAGGGGGGGUAGAAUUUCCAGGUGUAGCGGUGAAAUGCGUAGAGAUCUGGAGGAAUACCGGUGGCGAAGGCGGCCCCCUGGACCGAAGACUGACGCUCAGGUGCGAAAGCGUGGGGAGCAAACAGGAUUAGAUACCCCUGGUAGUCCACGCCGUAAACGAUGUCGACUUGGACGUUGUGCCCUUGAGGCGUGGCUUCCGGAGCUAACGCGUUAAGUCGACCGCCUGGGGAGUACGGCCGCAAGGUUAAAACUCAAAUGAAUUGACGGGGGCCCGCACAAGCGGUGGAGCAUGUGGUUUAAUUCGAUGCAACGCGAAGAACCUUACCUGGUCUUGACAUCCACAGAACUUUCCAGAGAUGGAUUGGUGCCUUCGGGAACUGUGAGACAGGUGCUGCAUGGCUGUCGUCAGCUCGUGUUGUGAAAUGUUGGGUUAAGUCCCGCAACGAGCGCAACCCUUAUCCUUUGUUGCCAGCGGUCCGGCCGGGAACUCAAAGGAGACUGCCAGUGAUAAACUGGAGGAAGGUGGGGAUGACGUCAAGUCAUCAUGGCCCUUACGACCAGGGCUACACACGUGCUACAAUGGCGCAUACAAAGAGAAGCGACCUCGCGAGAGCAAGCGGACCUCAUAAAGUGCGUCGUAGUCCGGAUUGGAGUCUGCAACUCGACUCCAUGAAGUCGGAAUCGCUAGUAAUCGUGGAUCAGAAUGCCACGGUGAAUACGUUCCCGGGCCUUGUACACACCGCCCGUCACACCAUGGGAGUGGGUUGCUUUUAUUAUUUUAGGUAGCUUAACCUUCGGAGG